rnacentral:ncRNA from 1 species
GGCUUGAUUGUAUUAUUAAAUUAAUUCUUAAUAACUACAAAUUAAGCC